rnacentral:rRNA from 1 species
UACGUAGGAGGCGAGCGUUGUCCGGAUUUACUGGGCGUAAAGCGCGCGCAGGCGGCACUUCAAGUAAGGUGUGAAAUCUCCCUGCUCAACGGGGAGGGUGCACUUUAGACUGGGGAGCUAGAGGACGGUAGAGGGGGGUGGAAUUGCUGGUGUAGCGGUGAAAUGCGUAGAGAUCAGCAGGAACACCCGUGGCGAAGGCGGCCCCCUGGGCCGUACCUGACGCUGAGGCGCGAAGGCUAGGGGAGCAAACGGG